rnacentral:misc_RNA from 1 species
AUACGCGUACACCGAUACGCACACGCCCGCACCUCCAACGCCCACUUGGCUGGCUCAUUCCGCCUUGCCAGCGACCUCCCUACGCCGCACGACCGCGUCAGGUACUCAUAGAGACUCAUACACGCACGCACACAUAGAGGCUCACAGGUCCAUCUUCGCAUGGAGCCCUAUGCAUCGCCGGCGGCGGUGCCACCGCCUCAUGUCGUGUAUGAUGCACUGAGUAAGGCGCAGAAGGCGGCACCGCAACUGAGGCCGAUUCCCGCCUUCGAAGUGUAUAAGGUAGCGCGGGAAGAGGAGCUGGCCGCCUACCGUAUGCUGUGUCGCGUACUUUUCAUGCAUCACGGCACCCCACUUCCCAAGGCGCAGCAGCGCAUCCUCGAUGACAUGGGCGAAGAGCUGUGUAUUGGGCAAACGCGGCAGGGACUGGAGAAAGAAAUGGCGGAGCAGGACAAGGUGCUGCAAGGCAUUCGCAAAUCCGGCGUGCUGCGGCGCCGCGGCGACUUCACCGAUGGUGUGGAAGAGAUGACCGUGGAAGACUACCUCACCGAGGCUCCGAAGGACGACGGCAACGGCCUCUACACGCCCACCCCCAAGGCGCGUCGCGUUGACGGGGCAGACCCCGGCGCCACACGAGCAACAGUCAUCGCUGCCGCCGCCGGUUUGGGCGCCAAGCGCAAAGGUAACGUGCACGCCGUUGUGUCGAAGCUGGCGAAGGAGGUUGAGACUGCCGGCAAGAGCCUGCUGUAUGCGAGCAGCGCCCAGGAAGAGCAGCAGCUUAUCCAAGUCCUUCAGCAAAAACGUGAGUUGCUGGUGGCGCUGAGAGAGGAGCUGACAGAGGCGUAGAAGGGCCAGGGCGAGCACGAAAAAAAAAAGGAAACUUACACAGUCACACACACACGCAUGCGCGCGCGGCUGCUAAACAAAUGGCGAAGCUGCGACGGAGGUGCAGGUUCGCUGUGCGUGAUGGUGCGCGCAUGUGUCUGCGCGGUGCCUGAUAACGGCUCAUUCGCAGUGCUCAGGGUGCUGUGCUGCUGCAGUGGUGUCCUCCUUCUGCCCCACGUUCUCUAUUUUUUUCGCAUCCUUCAAUGCUGGUCAGCCUCCUUUUGACUUGCACACACACACACACACACGCACACGCGGAGAACGGCAGAACGAAGCACGCAGAGGCGCGGUGUAGUGUGUGAGGAGGAGGCCCAGAUGUAGGGCUCAAAGGGCAACAGCGAUCGACAGAGGUGCUGCCGCGGGAUAACAAGCGCAUGCCGCUUCAGGCCGAAAAGAAGAUAACUGGAGAUCAGACGGACGCUGCAAACAAGCGAAGAGCCACUGCGAGAAGGAACUUUGUGUAGGCGUAAGGAGUGGGUGAACGGAUGGCACACACACACACACACACACACAAACCUUCUCUCUUCGAUGCCCACGCACCGCCGUGCGCCCCCACCCACCUCACCCCCACCCCUUCUUGCUCUGGCCCUCUCUCGCGCUGGUCACCCAUCUCUCACAAACAG